CUGAGCCUGCUGCUGUUCCUGCUCCAGUGCCUGAGACCAAACCAGACGCCGAGCCUGCUGCUGUUGCUGCUCCAGCGCCUGAGACCAAACCAGACACCGAGCCUGCUGCUGUUGCUGCUCCAGCACCUGAAACCAAACCAGAUGCCGAGCCUGCUGCUGUUGCUGCUCCAGCGCCUGAAACCAAAUCAGAUGCUGCUGCUACUGAUCCAGCUCCUGGAACCAAGGCAGAUGCUGCUGCCGCAGAUCCAGCACCUGGAGCCAAGGCAGACGCUGCUGCUCCAGUAGAGAACUCUGCCGACAAAGGUGGAAGCCAGGAGAGCCAGCCCG
rnacentral:lncRNA from 1 species